AUUGAACGCUGGCGGCAGGCCUAACACAUGCAAGUCGAACGAGUGGCGGACGGGUGAGUAAUGUCUGGGAAACUGCCCGAUGGAGGGGGAUAACUACUGGAAACGGUAGCUAAUACAGCAUACCAUCAGAUGUGCCAAGAUGGGAUUAGCUAGUAGGUGGGGUAACGCCUCACCAAGGCGACGAUCCCUAGCUGAUCUGAGAGGAUGACCAGCCACACUGGAACUGAGACACGGUCCAGACUCCUACGGGAGGCAUCAGUGGGGAAUAUUGCACAAUGGGCGCAAGCCGGAUGCAGCCAUGCCGCGUGUAUGAAGAAGGCCUUCGGGUUGUAAAGUACUUUCAGCGGGGAGGCGUUACUCGCAGAAGAAGCACCGGCUAACUCCGUGCCAGCAGCCGCGGUAAUAC
rnacentral:rRNA from 1 species